UACGGGGGGGGCAAGCGUUGUUCGGAAUUACUGGGCGUAAAGGGCUCGUAGGCGGUUUGGCAAGUCGGGUGUGAAAACUCCGGGCUCAACUCGGAGACGCCACUCGAUACUGCUAUGACUCGAGUCCGGUAGGGGAGUGCGGAAUUCCUGGUGUAGCGGUGAAAUGCGCAGAUAUCAGGAGGAACACCGGUGGCGAAGGCGGCACUCUGGGCCGGUACUGACGCUGAGGAGCGAAAGCGUGGGGAGCGAACAGG
rnacentral:rRNA from 1 species